UGUCGCUGUAGCUCCGUCAUAAACUCGCCGUUGAAGUUGCAAACUUAGCUUAGUGCUGGAUAAAUGUUUAAGCAGUUUUAUUCAUUGUUUGGUUGUGAUGGACAGUUGCCAAAUUUUUACCGUUCGUGCGAAAUGUUGUGAUGUUUCUCGAUAUCCCAAUCAUAGCACCUGUGUUAUUCCUGGGCAUCGCAUUCUCCAAGUCCCAACACGUGGUUGGAUCAAAGCAGUAAAGUCAAAGAAAUGAAUAAAUGAUAACUCAAAAGCCCAGGGUGUACAGAACACGCAGGUAGAAGAAAUGUGGAUGGAUGGAUUAUUUUGCCUGCCUUGGAUUUUCGUGGAUUUUCAAUCUUUGUGCUAAAAGCAAGAGGCCUGAAGUCGUGAAGUGUUUCACCUGUGUUAGUGCCAGUCUCUAUGCUGGAAAAGAAUUGGUUGAUGUCAGAAAAUUUGCUUCGAUAUGUCUUUGCCAAGCCAAUGUUACUGAAAAAAUACAGCAAGUCUUUAGCCUUGGAAAUGCAGUGUAUUAAUACUGUCUAUGAAGCGGCUACAUAGUAGGCUUUAACAGAUUUGAAAGGGUAUCCAUACUUACCAGUGCAGAAUAGAUCGGAUUGAACCAAUUCCACAGCUUUUAUUCGCUUUUAUUAAGUUGUCUGCUGCCUUUUUGAAUCUCCUUGUUAAGUUCAGACUUAGAAUGGUCACACUCUUAUUUUGAGGUUAAUCUUGCGCCGCUAUUCCAUGGAUUGAAUCCAUUGGUGGAAACUGACGAGAGAUCAGCAUCACCAUUUUUAAAGAGGGUUAUGGCCCAUGUCCAUUCGUUCCCAAGUUAAAAGCUAGCAAGCAACCACCAACCUUGGUCGAGUCACGAAAAAAGCCAGACAGCCGGCCCGGAAAUAGUCACGCCAAGCCCAAUAAAUAGCUAGCAAGCAAGCACUGUCGUCGGUCGUGCCAAGAACAAAAAGUAGCAAACAAACAACUAUACCAUUGCUGGACGUGACUGUCGUACGAAAUGCCACCUGCGCGUUUCCGUGUCGUAUUUUCCUUCCCUUCACGCGUUUUCAAACAACUCUUCUUUCUUCUAAGUAGAUCAUGGCAAAUAACCGGGGAACAUUUGAAGUCAAAGUAAGGAUAAAAUCCAUAAUU
rnacentral:lncRNA from 1 species